GCGGGGGUGGGGAAGAAAGAUAAAACUCUUUUCCCAAUAGGUGCAGCAGACACGGAAUGUAAGACCAUGCUGGUCAUCAAGUGCAAAGGAUUUCUCACAAAAGCAGAACUUCUUCAGCAGUCAGGGAACAGCUCUGACAAUUUAACAUAUUGAAAAGAUGUUUAUGAAGUGGUGAUCCAAGACCACAUGUGUAAGGAUCCUACUGCUAGUCUCAUAUUUCCCUGAGCGAACACAUCAGGGAGGCACAAAUGUGGCAGGAGCACCACUCAGGCCACAGGGAGAGCUGAGCGGACCUUCGUACAUCGCAGAGCAUCUUCCGGGGGCAAGAAGGCAACCGUGAGGGGUUCCUCCUCCUCAUAAGCGACACCAGAGUAGGCUUGGGCGGAACGUAACUGCUACUGUGCAGAGCACAGACCCCUUCUUACGACGUUCUCCAGGGACGUCAAAGGCAGCCAACAGCUGAGCAGCGCGUAACCGAGUCGCCCUUUCCUGACCCAGAGAGACUCCAACCCUCCAGGAUGGUCACCACAGCAACCCGAGACCUCCGAGCACGAGCGCUCUCUGAAGGCGCAACACUGCCCCCUACUGGUGAGAGCCAGGUCCAGAUUCUGUGUGAGCUGCUCUUCGACAAGACACCCACAAAGCUACGUCUGCAGGAAGCUUGCAUCUGAACCCACUAUGCCAUCAGACCACAUUUGAGAAGAGGCAACCGAGUCACAACAGAGAAGUUAGAUAAGCUGCCUGCCGUCACACAGCUAGUAAGUAGCAGAGCUAACGGUUCCUGCUAGAAGUCACAGAGUAAAGGUACUUCAGGAGAGCCGACGCGUGUUAGUGGGCUUAGGAGUCUCCCACUAGUUACUAGGUGAGUGAUGUAAACGCAGGGUAUGGACAGGGUUCUUUCUCCUUGGCGUCGAAGCCAGAACUGGGCACAUGGUAGGACUGAAAUGUUUGUGAAGUGACAGAUGAGAAAAAAAAGUCAUUAACUGUCAAAAAGCAGUUUCCUUACCACAGUUUAUCACAUGAGCCUACCAGUGACUGUAAGGUAUUUAAAUUAAGAAAUAAGUUCUAUUACAAAUUUUAUUCAAAAAUCAAGAAGAAAGACAAAUAAACUUCAGUAGUAAUGUUCAUGUCAUGCUGAGCACUCUAGGACUUGCUGUCUGUUUUGUUCAAUGCUGACCUGUUCCCUACAGAGUGUGAGGGGACAGUAACCGCUGGAACAAAACCCAGAAAUGAGCCAGAGCAAAUAAAAAAAAGAGGGUCUAUAAGAAGGGAGAAACUUUUAAAAUGAAAACAAAACACAGGGUAUCAGGAAAUGAGAAAACCAUGCAAAUAGGCAGGGUUCACUGAGAUCAUGUGAAGCGAUCUCACCUCAAAGCAAGGGGUGAGAGCCACGAGCCUCUGGUGCCAUUUCCGCCCUGAUACUCCUGCCUGUCAGGGCGCCCCGGAGCCCAAGGAGCAGUCCUCCAAGGCCCGAGAGAGGAGCUGAGGGCUUCAGCUGGUCCCUCCUCCUGCCUGCCUCUCGCGCUCGAUGGCGUCUGCUGAUUGGCAACACAGUUUUCUCUGAGACACAGAAAGACUCACUAAGCUAGAAGGAACCAGAGACAGCCCAGCCUUGACAUCGCCCUGGCUGCCUCCAGGGGCCCUCAGGGGAGGGCAAAGCAGAACAGUGACACCAGGAGAUGGGAGGGAGAGGGAGGUAACGGCAGAGCCGGGCCGCAGUGCAGGGCGGCUGACUGAUGUCUACAAAAAGCAACCGGAGGAACCCGAGUUGCUGUUAAUUUGCAGACCAGGGAGGCUGAACACUGUUAAAACCCACCAAGUUCACUGUGUUCACGCCAUGUGCUUCCUUAACAGGGUAAUCUUAUCUUCUGGUUUUCAGAAUUCACGCAUAAUUAGUAGAGCGGAGAAAAGGAAAGAACAAAACACAGCUGUUUUCCAUGUUCUGAAGGACAUUACCUCCAAGGUUCCCUCUCAUGGCAAGAGGCUGAGGUCCUAUGCAACGAAGCCCAGGCAAGUAAAUUUAAGGAUUUCUCUUGGUUAA